UAUUCUUGAACGGCUAGGAUC
ensembl:piRNA 21ur-7602 ncRNA